rnacentral:misc_RNA from 1 species
UCCGUGUUAACCACGGCAGUCUCUCUAGAGAGCCCAACUGAAUGCUGGCAACUAAAGAUAAGGGUUGCGCUCGUUGCGGGACUUAGCCCAACAUGUCACCACACGAGCUGACGACAGCCAUGCAGCACCUGUCUCCCUGUCGUAUUGCUACGAAGACCGUAUCUCUACGGCUGUCAGGGGAUGUCAAACCCAGGUAAGGUUCUGCGCGUUGCGUCGAAUUGAACCACAUGCUCCACCGCUUGUGCGGGCCCCCGUCAAUUCCUUUGAGUUUUAGCCUUGCGGCCGUACUCCCCAGGCGGGGUGCUUAAUGCGUUAGCUUCGGCACGGAGGGAGUUGACACCCCCCACACCUAGCACCCAUCGUUUACGGCGUGGACUAC